rnacentral:misc_RNA from 1 species
AAGUCGUAACAAGGUUUCCGUAGGUGAACCUGCGGAAGGAUCAUUAACAAAUUCUAAACACCUGUGUUUCUCUACCUGUUGCUACGCUUCAUGCUCAUAUUACACCGCUACUAGUGAUAGUGGUGGUGUAUAAUAUGGGUAGGUUGUUUGGUGCAGUUAGGGAGGUACUAAAACAUACACUUUGAUUGACAACACCUAGUGAUCUAGAUAUUAAUUGUAGACAACUUUUAACAAUGGAUCUCUUGGCUCUU